UAGAAGCUUCCUAAUUUUUGGCCGCCGUCGUCCCAGCAGCCUGAUGUCCCCAGGCCGGGCCCCUGCUCCCCGGACCCGCCGUGGGGAGCGCGCCAGCCCCGGUGAACUGGUCGCUGAAGCUUCAACAGUGUGAUUGAACAUCACUGCCAGAACUUGACCCUUAACGCGUCUCGCCCUCCAUGUUCCAGGUGGCCGACCCACUGCCUAGCGUUCAAGCCGGGAGCAGGACCCCUCCUUGAGGUUGCCAAUUAGGGGUUGCCAGCGUGCGCUCACUGGCAGCUGAGCUGAGGAUUCGAGGGAUGAUGAGUGGCCUGCCUGGAGGUUUUGGGUGCUGACUUGUUGAAGAUGGGUGAUGAGCGGUGUGGAGGUCAAGCCGGGGUGGCACAGCUCAGCCCAAAUAGAGGCUGUCCCCCAGGAGAACCAUGUGGUCGGCUAUACGGAAGUUCCGAGGACCAGUGGCCACCAUCAGUUCAGACUGAAAACUGAGGCCUUGGUAGCCUGUGUGGAAACAGCACUUACCUGGUGCCGAGAUCCAGAGCCCGUUCUGUUACCAGCAGUAGAGCUAACAAAUGUGUUCACAGUGCUUUCACCAUUAUGGUGCCAUUUGCAAGUUUUCUAGUAUAAAUACCAUUAUUUCUAGCUCUAUCUUGCCCAAAGAGCUUUCUGCACUUUUUAAUUUUGUAUAAAAUUGUUCUGUUGGUGAUGGUCUGAGUGCUUUAAGCUGGAAGCUUAUUUCUUUCUGAAAUUAGUAUUUCCAUAUACUUAAAAUAAACCAAUACUGCAAUAAGGGA